rnacentral:misc_RNA from 1 species
GUGAGAAACUUGAGGCCCUUCCUGGUAACAUACACAAUCUCACAUCUCUUCAAGUAUUGGUACUACAUAAUUGUCAAGGCAUUGUAUCAUUUCCCGAAGAAGGUUUUCCAACCAACCUUGUGAAACUUGAUAUUUCUUUUAGCAACAUCUGCAAGUCACUGUUUGAAUGGGGGUUGCACAGAUUUGCUUCUCUCAGAGAACUUUGUAUUCAAGGAGGAUGUUCAGACCUGGUAUCCUUUCCACAGGAUGAAAUGGGAAUGAUGCUGCCUACCUCACUUACCAACCUGUCCAUUGGAGACUUCCCCAAUCUUGAAUACCUCUCUAUUAAGGGGUUUCAAAACCUUGCCUCGCUUAAACUUCUUUCGGUCCAGAAUUGCCCAAAGUUGGCCUCUUUCCCAAAGAAUGGUCUGCCUUUAUCACUUUUGGCACUCUACACGAAUAAUUGCCCUCUGCUUAAAAAAAGUUGCCAAAAGAAUAAAGGGGAAGAGUGGUCCAAGAUAGCCCACAUUCCCUGUGUCAAGAUAGAUAUGAGAUCUGUCUUUAAACCAGGUGAUCCAUUUAAAAUUAUAAUUCAAAGCAAUUUACCUUUUUGGGUCUAUCUAUACGUAACAUUUCUUGUUGUGCUAUAAAUGAAGAAAAUGAUCCUGAAGAGGAUGAAACGGAUAGCAAUGAGGAAGAAAUGGAUACUUACCUUGAAGAGGGAGAAACAGACAGUGGCUCUGAAGAGGAAGAAUAAGAGAAUUAAAGCUUGUACAAUGCUCUGAUUGCAGAUAGUGUGAUGAAACUGCUUGUGUUAUCAAGAUCUAAGCUGACUGCCUUCCUAUAGAGGAUACACAAGGAAACAGGAGCUGGUUAUAUCAUCUGUAAGGAGUGACAUUCUAUUUAGUUGGCUAUUAUGAUACAAUUCCACGUAUGAUUUCUGAUGUAGCAGUCAUAUCAUGAAGAAGCCAUCGUGUAGUUUGCAGCAGGAUAAUGUUAUUAUUGGUUUUUGGCCUUCUUGUUGACAGGUCAUUGAAAAUUGAUAGCUUAAGUUAAAGAAUGAUAAGAGGGAUCCUCUUUAAAGAUAAGCAUGAAGUGAAGAAGAAUGGGGAUAUCAUCUUUGAGCCAAAUAUCUGUAUCAAUGAUUGGUGUGCUGCUUUUCUCACUCUUUUAUCUACUGACUGGUCUGGCACAGCUGAUCACUAGAAGAAGAAACAAGAAGAAGAUUGGCACAGCAAUACUUGUCACAACAAGAGAAUUGGGAUUGCUUUUUAAUGGAAGGGUGAGCAGCUAAACCUUAUUUCCUUUGAUGGGGUUGUCCUCAACAAAGCUGAGAAAGCUUUGAUUCUGAGGAAGUUAUAGCCUUACUGAACCAGCUGCACAAACUCACAUCUCAUCAAAGAAUAAACAAUGGAAGUCAUCAUUGGCAUAUUCAUGAAAUGCCCUCAAACCUCCAUGAUCACAAAUUCAUAAAAGUCUUCCACCUUCAAAAAUCAAAAUCUGUGAUCAGAAACAGAAGCCAACGAAUCAUUGCAUGUACUUUCUUUCCAUUUCAAUUUGAUACUUUUCCUGUGGGAACAUAUUAACUGUAAAUAUAUAUAUUCAAAGUAAUUUCAAUCUUAAUUGAUUUUAUGCCAUUUAACUAUAUUAUUAUUGGAAUUA